rnacentral:rRNA from 1 species
CUUUGGGUGUGACUGCGUACCUUUUGUAUAAUGGGUCAGCGACUUAUAUUCUGUAGCAAGGUUAACCGAAUAGGGGAGCCGGAGGGAAACCGAGUCUUAACCGGGCGUUAAGUUGCAGGGUAUAGACCCGAAACCCGGUGAUCUAGCCAUGGGCAGGUUGAAGGUUGGGUAACACUAACUGGAGGACCGAACCGACUAAUGUUGAAAAAUUAGCGGAUGACCUGUGGCUGGGGGUGAAAGGCCAAUCAAACCGGGAGAUAGCUGGUUCUCCCCGAAAGCUAUUUAGGUAGCGCCUCGUGAAUUCAUCUCCGGGGGUAGAGCACUGUUUCGGCUAGGGGGCCAUCCCGGCUUACCAACCCGAUGCAAACUGCGAAUACCGGAGAAUGUUAUCACGGGAGACACACGGCGGGUGCUAACGUCCGUCGUGAAGAGGGAAACAACCCAGACCGCCAGCUAAGGUCCCAAAGUCAUGGUUAAGUGGGAAACGAUGUGGGAAGGCCCAGACAGCCAGGAUGUUGGCUUAGAAGCAGCCAUCAUUUAAAGAAAGCGUAAUAGCUCACUGGUCGAGUCGGCCUGCGCGGAAGAUGUAACGGGGCUAAACCAUGCACCGAAGCUGCGGCAGCGACACUGUGU